GGAGUUACUGCAACGGUAGAUGAUAAUACAAUAGAUAAGAAGGCCUAUAUUGGAUUAUGUGAAAGAGAAUUUAAAAAUCGCUAUGCCAAUCACAUAACCUCCUUCCGACAUAAGGACAAAAGCAAAGUUACUAAGUUGGCUAGCCACGUAUGGUAUUCGAAAGAAAAUGUUACACACACACACACACACACACA